rnacentral:rRNA from 1 species
AUUGAACGCUGGCGGCAUGCUUUACACAUGCAAGUCGAACGGUAACAGGCCUUCGGGUGCUGACGAGUGGCGAACGGGUGAGUAAUGCAUCGGAACGUACCCAGAGGUGGGGGAUAACGCAGCGAAAGCUGUGCUAAUACCGCAUGUGAUCUGAGGAUGAAAGCGGGGGACCGAGCAGCAAUGUUUGGCCUCGCGCCUUUGGAGCGGCCGAUGCCGGAUUAGCUAGUUGGUGGGGUAAAGGCCUACCAAGGCGACGAUCCGUAGCUGGUCUGAGAGGACGACCAGCCACACUGGCACUGAGACACGGCCCAGGCUCCUACGGGAGGCAGCAGUGGGGAAUUUUGCACAAUGGGCGCAAGCCUGAUCCAGCAAUGCCGCGUGCGGGAAGAAGGCCUUCGGAUUGUAAACCGCUUUUGGCAGGAACGAAACGGUGUCCGCUAAUACCGGGCGCUAAUGACGGUACCUGCAGAAUAAGCACCGGCUAACUACGUG